GGCGAAAAGGCGUUCGUGAUAAAGGCGUGCAACAACGUAAUACGAGGGUUUGAAGACGAAAUUGGUUGAUACGAAAACCGAGCUCGUGUGCGUAAUGAAGUUCCAGUCCUCGUCAAGUUCAGAUACGGAAAAUAACGGUUACCAAAGCGAUGACUGACUGAAAUUAUAUUCCUUGGCCGUAUCAAAUCAAGUGAAAUCGAUAAAAACAUCAGUGAAGCGAUCGAAGUCAAGCAGCGCCGAUCAUUCAUGCGCACGACG